GACGAACGCUGGCGGCGUGCCUAACACAUGCAAGUCGAGCGAGGUGUAUACACCUAGCGGCGGACGGGUGAGUAACACGUGGGUAACCUGCCUCAGAGAGGGGAAUAGCCUUCCGAACGGAAGAUUACUACCGCAUAAUAUACGCAUUUAGCAUUAUGAGCGUAUCAAAGGAGAAAUCCGCUUUGAGAUGGGCCCGCGGCGCAUUAGCUAGUUGGAGAGGUAACGGCUCACCAAGGCGACGAUGCGUACCCGACCUGAGAGGGUGAUCGGCCACAUUGGAACUGAGACACGGUCCAGGCUCCUACGGGAGGCAGCAGUGGGGAAUAUUGCACAAUGGGGGAAACCCUGAUGCAGCAACGCCGCGUGAAUGAUGAAGACCUUCGGGUCGUAAAGUUCUUUGAUUGGGGACGAUAAUGACGGUACCCAAAAAACAAGCCACGGCUAACUACGUGCCAGCCGCCGCCGUAA
rnacentral:rRNA from 1 species